rnacentral:rRNA from 1 species
GGAGGAUCCGAGCGUUAUCCGGAUUUAUUGGGUUUAAAGGGUGCGUAGGUGGUUCAAUAAGUCAGCGGUGAAAGAUUGCAGCUUAACUGUAAAAAUGCCGUUGAAACUGUUGAACUUGAGUGUAAAUGAGGUAGGCGGGAUGCGUGGUGUAGCGGUGAAAUGCUUAGAUAUCACGCAGAACUCCGAUUGCGAAGGCAGCUUACCAGGCUACAACUGACACUGAAGCACGAAAGCGUGGGGAUCAAACAGGAUUAGAUACCCUGGUAGUCCACGCCGUAAACGAUGAUUACUAGCUGUUUGCGAUACACAGUAAGCGGCACAGCGAAAGCGUUAAGUAAUCCACCUGGGGAGUACGCCGGCAACGGUG